GCAGAGCCUGUCCUGGAGCACAGUUCAUUGUCAAAGGUGAACUCUCGCAAGCCACAACUCCACAGUCCUUGAAGGAUUCAGCACGGGGGCCUCGUCCCAUAAGCAGAUGAGGAUGUGGUUAGUGGAUGAACAAAAGGCUCUGGUGAUGGUGAUGUGUGGACUGCGUUUGAGCAGUAGACGUACUCGUGGGGACGUCCCCUAAGGAAAUAAGCUUCUGUGCAGAGAAAACACUUUCUCCAGGAAAAUCCUCCCAUGGGAGUGAUGGUCUCAUUCUGAAAAUCGUGGUGGUGCGGGCAAGAGCCUCACUGGGUGCCAGUAGGGAUUGCACCAUGUUAGUGCCAUCAAAGGAGUAGUUUGCAGAAAGCAUGCUGUCAUCUGAAAGGUGCUCCCGGCGGUGUUCACUGGCAAAAGCCAGGGGUAAAACGGUCUGUGCAGUGUGACUAUGGUGGAAGAGGACAAAAGACUGGAGGGAAUCCCACGUGGACACGGCGAUAAUAGCACAGGGCCAUUCAGCGCAUGUUUCUGUGAGCCCGACGGCUCCGAUAUCGAUGAUCAGUUCAUUUCAUCCUCACAAUACCGGAAGGAGGUGGAUACUAUUAACACACCCAUUUUACAGAAGAGAAAACCGAGGCAGAAGGACUCAGGGAAUGUUACUCAAGCUCACACACUGGUGGGUCUUACGGCAUGCAAUCGAACCUGGGUCCAGGAGUCUGACUCACUGGAACCACUCCCUGCCACAGCCUCCUCCUCCUGUUACUGUCCUGCCUGGGACUGGGUGGGGCUCUGUGACUUCUGUCUUUUUUUUCUGAGACGCAGUCUCACUCUGUCACCCAUGCUAGAGUGCAGUGGCAAGAUCUCAGCUCACUGAACCUCUGCCUCCAGGGUUCAAGUGAUUCUCCUGCCUCAGCUUCCUGAGUAGCUGGGAUAACACGCAUGCACCACCACGCCUGGCUAAUUUUUGUAUUUUUAGUAGAGAUGGGUUUCGCCACGUUGGCUAGGAUGGUCUCGAACUUUUAACCUCUGGUGAUCUGCCCACCUCGGCCUCCCAAAGUGCUUGGAUUACAGGUGUGAUGGUGCAUGCUUGUAAUCCCAGUGAUUCAGGAGGCUGAGGCAGGAGAAUCUCUUGAACCCAGGAAGCAGAAGUUGCAGUAAGCCGAGAUCAUGCCAUUGCACUCCAGCCUGCCAGCCUGGGUGACAGCGAGACUCUGUCUCAAAAAAAAAAAAAAAAAAAAAAAAA
rnacentral:lncRNA from 1 species